AAGAACCACCCACUACUUCCUUUCUUCCCAAAGAAGAGAAAUCCCCAAAAUCGAUCCCCUCUCUCUUUUUUCAACGCAAUUCCAUAGUCCACACCACCACCAACGCAGCCCCGCCACUGAAGUCAUCCCUUCCUCUCUUCUCGACUCGUUUUGCCCUAAUUUCUUCCCCAAAAUUACCAAACCCUCUGAUUUCAUGCGCGUUUCGUUCGGAUUCGACCAAAAACAGGUUCAACUUGCCUCAUGUGUACGAUUUCGAGGUAACUCUCUCUCACUCGUAUCUGCUGGAGUCUGUUCUAUUUUGGGAGAUUUCGGUCACCUAUUCUUCAAUUUGCUGUAAAAUCAGGCUAGUCACACUUCCAAACGAAACCCUAGAUCUCGAUUAUCAUGGAGGUGCCUUACGAGUUACGAGGCAAACUGUUAUAUAUGUUUUCCCCUGUUUUUUCCGGUCGCAAUUUGAAUUAGCAAGGUGUCGUUGGAAAAGUAAUGGUGAUUAUUUUGUGGUGACGCCAUGGUUGUAAACUUGUAAGCUUACUUAAACUGUAGAAUUAUAUGCUUCAUGCAUUCAAAGUUCUUUUAGUACUUGUUUUCGGAGAGGGUACGUGGUCACUAGAACUUGUCAAAUAUGGUUGUGCAACUAUACGAGGGACUCAAUUUCUCGUGUUACUACAGUGGCCGAAAAAUAAGAAAUAUAGUCACGUCGUCUUUUGCUAUUAACGUCUUAAAGAACUGAUCGUGAUGAGAUGAAGGUUACUCCUACGUUCUUUGGCGAUUAGUAAUUAUGCUUCUAUGUUUGUUGUAGAGAGCUGGUGAUGUUCUAUUCGUCCAAUGUAUCUGCAACCAAUUACUGAUUCAUGGGGAAACUAUACGUGUAGACCUUGCCAGGAAAGAAGGGAUGAUGAUGCAAGUAUAAUUGGUAUUGUUGUCGAGGCCUUUACACUGUUUACUAGAUUUAUUCUGGUAUGGUUCUCUCCAUAGUGAACUUCAUGUUUCUGAUUUU